ncrna:unclassified sequences RAGATH-18 RNA
ACUAUGGAGUGUACUUGAACUUGUGAGUAGAUAUGAUCUCAGUCAGUCGAAAGCAUACACAAUAAAAUAGUAA